UUGGUGUGGUUGUUGCUGGCUCCUCGGGGGCAUGUGCACACCUGCCAUCCUCAUCUUUCCACCUGUGCACGUUUUGUAGAUUUGGAUUGACUUUCUGAGGUAACUCCGUCGGGAGGAUUGCUAGUGUCCUGGCUUUCCUUGAUUUCCAAGUCUAUGUUUUUCAUAUACCCCAUUGCAUGUAACAGAAUGUAUCAUUAGGUCUUUGUGCCUAUAAAAUCUAUACAACUUUCAGCAACGGAUCUCUUGGCUCUCGCAUCGAUGAAGAACGCAGCGAAAUGCGAUAAGUAAUGUGAAUUGCAGAAUUCAGUGAAUCAUCGAAUCUUUGAACGCACCUUGCGCUCCUUGGUAUUCCGAGGAGCAUGCCUGUUUGAGUGUCAUUAAAUUCUCAACCCUUAUUAGCUUUAUGUCAAUAAUGGGCUUGGAUGUGGGGGUAUCUUUUUGCUGGCUUCUUYCUAGAUGGUCYGCUCCCCUAAAAUGCAUUAGCUGGUGCCCCACGUGGACUUGUCUCUUGGUGUGAUAAUUAUCUACGCUAUGGAUGUCUACACUUAUAUGGGUUUGCAUUGCUUCUAACUGUCUGUUCAUUCAGACAAUACAUGACCAGUGACCUCAAAUCAUGUA
rnacentral:rRNA from 1 species